rfam:Populus trichocarpa isolate Nisqually-1 chromosome 14, whole genome shotgun sequence.
GAGAGCUGCGUGAUAGGAGACUAUCCAGCACGGUUCGGAGAGCAAUUUAUUUAUUUUUUAUUUCAGU